GCAUGAACAGUCAGUCAGUGAGUGAGUGGGCAGAUGUUCUCUAGCCCUGCUAUCUUUAUAGUUCCCAUAACACAUGCACAUCGAUAGUCAAAAUAUAUGGCGCUCAGGUGGUUUGACAUCCCUAAGACACAUCUCUUGAGACUAACAAGGACACUUGGUGUGGGAGCCUCCCUGGCUCGUAACCUUUAACCUACUUCCAUUAGGCCGCUGCUGUGUCUCACACUGCUGUCACAGUAGGGGUUAAAUGGGCAACACAUAUCAUUAGGUGAGAAGUUCAGUUUCAUCAAAACAAGUAACCUUACACAACACAUGCAGAACACACAAUAGGUUAAAUAUGGUCAAAUACCAGAAUUUUCCAUCACAAGGCCUUAUAAUAGCAAGAAUGUUUUGUGUGAACUGGUGCAUGUAGAUUGCUUUUGUUUAGCCAGGGCAGAGCUAUUCGACGGCGUAACGGUCAGUACCGUCGAUGCCCCGGGGUGUAGCAGUAAUGCCGACUGUCGAGCGUUUCCAGUGGGAGAGAGGGAAUCGUGGGUGUAUCCCGCUCUGUAUGAAGCCACGUCAAAACCCACCAAUAGAAACUCUUCUCUCAUCCAUCAGUGUAGGCCCCGCCCAUUAAGUGCAGUUGAACUUGCAAACAAAACUUUGCAACUUCUCUGAUGUCUGCUCAGUAGUUUCUGUGUAUCCAUCAGUUGAUGUGUCUGGAUGUCUGAUCAUCUCAUUUCCCACCCUGGUGCUCUUUGUGUCUUGUUUACUAGGAUGGCUACAAGAAGGCCGGAGUCCAUCCACUCUGGUGUGUCCUUGAAGAGUGAUUGGUCAAAAGCUGAACCGUUUGAUUUCAAAGACAGAGUCUCUCCCAGCAUCAUAACUGUGACUAUCACACUUGCGGUGGCCGGACUUUUCAUCUCAGCACGAUGUGUCAGAUGAUGAAGAUUUGGUCAAGUCUUCAGACGAUCAAUCAAAAUGACAGUCAACAUUAGGACUCCCUCUCAAUACUCAUAUUGUCUGAAUAUGAUCUCAUAUGAUGGAGCAGGGUAAAGAGAGAGAAGUCGGGGAACUAACUUUAAAAAGAGCAGAGGAAUCAUUCAGUGGGAACAGAAUCAUCUUUUACUGAACUUGUCUGAUGCUGUGUUUAUCCAGCAGUUGUGGCUGGAUGUCUAAUAAUGUCCAUUUCUCACCCUGGUGGUUUAAUCAGUUUUCAGAAGGUGUUUGAUCUUGAUUCAAACCUGUUGAUGACUUUAUGUAACAAAGAGCUGAUGAUGGUAAAUUUCAUCAGUGUAUGUUGGGACUAGUUAUUGAUAGAAAAUUCACUAUUAGUAAAUUACUCAUACAUUUCCUAUACUUGUUAUGUUAUCUAUUAAGUUAUCCAAAUUAGUUUCAAUAAAAUGUACAUAUUAUUUUAUUUCAUCCACCUGCAGCUUAAAUCUUAGUACAUACUGUUUACAUUUUAAAUAAUAUCCUGUGUGGGAGGAGAUGAACCAGGAGCUGUCGUCUGAAGUGGGAUGGAAACAUGGUUGAGGCAUCAGUCAGCAGCUGCUCCUGAUGGUCUCUUCAUAUUAUCAUGCCUGCUGCUGCUUCCUGCAUCACUGUGUAUUCAGAAACCCGUUGAUUAAAAGUAUCAUAAAUGUAUAUAAGAAAAAUAUAUUAGUAUAUUGUAUAUUUUGAGAAGUUUGACAGACUUGCAGCUGUGUAUUCAUGAAGGACAAAGGGUUUUGUACAACUGUGGCACUUAAGAUUUACCUUUCACUCUGUAAGUUGUGCGUUUGGUUUGUUGAUGAAAAUGAACCCAAUGUAAUUUUUUUUACCUUUAUACACAAUGAAACAAAUAAAGAAGAAUAUUAUUAUCUUCUAAGCAAA